ACCAGGAUGGCCGAGUGGACUUAAGAUCCAAUGGACACAUGUCCUCGUGGGUUCAAACCCCACUCCUGGUA